rnacentral:rRNA from 1 species
AUUGAACGCUGCGGCAGGCCUAACACAUGCAAGUCGAGCGGCAGCGACUAACUGAACCUUCGGGGAACGUUAAGGGCGGCGAGCGGCGGACGGGUGAGUAAUGCCUGGGAAUAUGCCCUGAUGUGGGGGAUAACUAUUGGAAACGAUAGCUAAUACCGCAUAAUCUCUUCGGAGCAAAGAGGGGGACCUUCGGGCCUCUCGCGUCAGGAUUAGCCCAGGUGGGAUUAGCUUGUUGGUGAGGUAAUGGCUCACCAAGGCGACGAUCCCUAGCUGGUCUGAGAGGAUGAUCAGCCACACUGGAACUGAGACACGGUCCAGACUCCUACGGGAGGCAGCAGUGGGGAAUAUUGCACAAUGGGGGAAACCCUGAUGCAGCCAUGCCGCGUGUGUGAAGAAGGCCUUCGGGUUGUAAAGCACUUUCAGUAGGGAGGAAGGUAGUGUAGUUAACACCUGCACUAUUUGACGUUACCUACAGAAGAAGCACCGGCUAACUCCGUGCCAGCAGCCGCGGUAAUACGGAGGGUGCGAGCGUUAAUCGGAAUUACUGGGCGUAAAGCGCAUGCAGGCGGCCUGUUAAGUCAGAUGUGAAAGCCCGGGGCUUAACCUCGGAAUUGCAUUUGAAACUGGCAGGCUAGAGUCUUGUAGAGGGGGGUAGAAUUUCAGGUGUAGCGGUGAAAUGCGUAGAGAUCUGAAGGAAUACCAGUGGCGAAGGCGGCCCCCUGGACAAAGACUGACGCUCAGAUGCGAAAGCGUGGGGAGCAAUCAGG